rnacentral:lncRNA from 1 species
AGUAGCGCUGCCUGCAAACCAGCACCAAGGCUGCAAACGAAGCCAGAAAGAUGGUGGCCAGCACACCUAUGGCAACUAUCACCACGGUCUCCAUGCUUCCGGGGAGCUCCUGACUCAGUCCCGUUCACAUCGUCCUCAUGGGCUAAGGCUGCUGGAAGUGGCAAACUGGGGGAAGAGGAUGGCAGGAGCUAGGUUCCUCCACGACACCUCCAGAGACCUGAGGGCCUCAAGCUGCAGCUCCGGGGCACAUCCCGCUGCGCUCCCACGACGGCCCCGCGGAUGGCAAAGUCAGCGGUCGACGUUUAUUUCUUUCUGAACUUUCCUGGAGGAUCAUCGGCCAUACUCCAGCAGAAGGGUGGAUUUGAAAAAAUAACGUUUCCACGGCAACAGUGGCAGCAA